rnacentral:other from 1 species
AUUUCAGACAAACCCCCGUGGGGUUGAAGC